rnacentral:tRNA from 1 species
UCCUCCUUAGCUCAGUUGGCAGAGCGCAUGACUGUUAAUCAUGAUGGCGUUGGUUCGAGCCCAACAGGGGGAGCCA